UCCGUAGGUGAACCUGCGGAAGGAUCAUUACAAAGUACCCGGCCCCCUGGGCAACCACCGUAAGCAAUGGCCGAGCUGGCAUCCCUCCAGCCCACCCGCCCGCCGUUGUUCACGGUUUACCCAUGUGAAAUCCCCUUGUUGCUUCGGCAGCGCCUCCUCAUCUGCCGGAAGGGUCAGGCUGCCGGCAGCACCAUUGGAAACUCUUUCUUGAACUUGGUAUUUGAUACGUCUGAGAGCGCAGUCGAAUGACAUAUAAAACUUUCAACAACGGAUCUCUUGGUUCCCGCAUCGAUGAAGAACGCAGCGAAACGCGAUAGUUAAUGUGAAUUGCAGAAUUCAGUGAAUCAUCGAGUUUUUGAACGCACAUUGCGCCUUUUGGUAUUCCGAGAGGCACGUCUGUUUGAGCGUCAGCAGAACCCUUCCGGUCCCCGGUUCGCUGGGGGCACGGGCGUGCUGGUGUGGGGAUGCCGGCCGCCACACUCCGGUGUGGGACGUGCCCUCCCCCACUUAAACGUGGAGAAGCUAGCGGGCGGUGCCCCGGAUCGCGACGACUUGUAAAAGUUCUUACCGUCGGAAGGGGGCAUCCGGGGUCACCCCCGGCCCUCCCC
rnacentral:rRNA from 1 species